rnacentral:rRNA from 1 species
GACGUAGGGGGCCAGCGUUGUUCGGAAUUACUGGGUGUAAAGGGUUCGUAGGCGGUGUGGCAAGUCGGGAGUGAAAUUUCUGGGCUUAACUCAGAACCUGCUUCCGAAACUGCUGUGCUGGAGUGUGGGAGAGGCGCGUGGAAUUGCAGGUGUAGCGGUGAAAUGCGUAGAUAUCUGCAGGAACACCCGUGGCGAAAGCGGCGCGCUGGACCACUACUGACGCUGAGGAACGAAAGCUAGGGGAGCAACAGG